AUUGAACGCUGGCGGCAUGCUUUACACAUGCAAGUCGAACGGCAGCGCGGGGCAACCUGGCGGCGAGUGGCGAACGGGUGAGUAAUAUAUCGGAACGUACCCAGGAGUGGGGGAUAACGUAGCGAAAGUUACGUUAAUACCGCAUACGAUCUACGGAUGAAAGCGGGGGAUCUUCGGACCUCGCGCUCAUGGAGCGGCCGAUAUCUGAUUAGCUAGUUGGUGAGGUAAAGGCUCACCAAGGCGACGAUCAGUAGCUGGUCUGAGAGGACGACCAGCCACACUGGGACGGAGACACGGCCCAGACUCCUACGGGGGGAAGAGGUGUGGAAUUUUGGACAAUGGGCGCAAGCCUGAUCCAGCAAUGCCGCGUGAGUGAAGAAGGCCUUCGGGUUGUAAAGCUCUUUUGUCAGGGAAGAAACGGCUGCGGCUAAUAUCCGCAGCUAAUGACGGUACCUGAAGAAUAAGCACCGGCUAACUACGUGCCAGCCGCCGCCGUAAGAC
rnacentral:rRNA from 1 species